rnacentral:rRNA from 1 species
AGACCCGAAACCCGGUGAUCUAGCCAUGGGCAGGUUGAAGGUUGGGUAACACUAACUGGAGGACCGAACCGACUAAUGUUGAAAAAUUAGCGGAUGACCUGUGGCUGGGGGUGAAAGGCCAAUCAAACCGGGAGAUAGCUGGUUCUCCCCGAAAGCUAUUUAGGUAGCGCCUCGUGAAUUCAUCUCCGGGGGUAGAGCACUGUUUCGGCUAGGGGGCCAUCCCGGCUUACCAACCCGAUGCAAACUGCGAAUACCGGAGAAUGUUAUCACGGGAGACACACGGCGGGUGCUAACGUCCGUCGUGAAGAGGGAAACAACCCAGACCGCCAGCUAAGGUCCCAAAGUCAUGGUUAAGUGGGAAACGAUGUGGGAAGGCCCAGACAGCCAGGAUGUUGGCUUAGAAGCAGCCAUCAUUUAAAGAAAGCGUAAUAGCUCACUGGUCGAGUCGGCCUGCGCGGAAGAUGUAACGGGGCUAAACCAUGCACCGAAGCUGCGGCAGCGAACGUAUCACCCAAGACAACUUUACGGAGUUGACGAUUGACGGAGCGAAGCGACGUCAAAGCGUUCAUUAAAGUCGAGUUGGCUUAGGGAUACGUUCGUUGGGUAGGGGAGCGUUCUGUAAGCCUGUGAAGGUGUGUCGUGAGGCAUGCUGGAGGUAUCAGAAGUGCGAAUGCUGACAUAAGUAACGAUAAAGCGGGUGAAAAGCCCGCUCGCCGGAAGACCAAGGGUUCCUGUCCAACGUUAAUCGGGGCAGGGUGAGUCGACCCCUAAGGCGAGGCCGAAAGGCGUAGUCGAUGGGAAACGGGUUAAUAUUCCCGUACUUGGUGUUACUGCGAAGGGGGGACGGAGAAGGCUAUGUUGGCCGGGCGACGGUUGUCCCGGUUUAAGCGUGUAGGUGUGUGUUCCAGGUAAAUCCGGUUCACUUUAACACUGAGGCGUGACGACGAGGCACUACGGUGCUGAAGCAACAAAUGCCCUGCUUCCAGGAAAAGCCUCUAAGCAUCAGGUAACACGAAAUCGUACCCCAAACCGACACAGGUGGUCAGGUAGAGAAUACCAAGGCGCUUGAGAGAACUCGGGUGAAGGAACUAGGCAAAAUGGUGCCGUAACUUCGGGAGAAGGCACGCUGACACGUAGGUGAAGUGAUUUACUCAUGGAGCUGAAGUCAGUCGAAGAUACCAGCUGGCUGCAACUGUUUAUUAA